UAGACUUGCUCUACAUGUCGGGCUCCCUGCACUUUGGUGCGGCCAACCGACAUGGGGCUGUCUCUUCACUYUCCCUCCCGUCAUUGAAUUUGUCGGGGUUGGGAUGCUUGUGAUCGGUUGCCUGUGUGGUUCUACCCUCUUGUGGGUAGCGAAGUUGUCCCUUGAUGGAUAUUUUGCUUGCCCAGCUGACAUUGUUUUGUCGCUUGGUCAGCCGAAAUGUUGGCAAAAUCCUUGUGUUGUUGCGUGGUUGAAUUCCUUGUUGAUAUCACUCGGAUUUUUGCCGGCUCUCACGGAUGCGGUGCCUAUUGCUAGCUCUGCGGGCCUCUGUCCCGUAGACUUCGGGAGGUCCCUUGUACGGGAACAUUGCUCUUGCGUGCGUUUGUCGUGUUGCCUGCGGUGACACGCGAAUUAAGUUUUGGCCUUGUUGUCAGUGGCGACACGUCAAAACUGUGUGUGCGGAGCAUGAUCACGUGCUUGUGGAAUGCCUCUCUGUUUUAUGAGCAGCGAUUUCUGGUUGCGUCAUGCGAAGGCCCGCCCGUCCGGGUGGUGCUGGAGCUAACGUACCGGCUCUCGUUUAAGACGUGC
rnacentral:misc_RNA from 1 species